UGGAGAAUAUCAGUGCAAUUCUCCUUUGGCAGGAGGGUGUUCGCUAGUAUACUGCAACCGUUUACUGCCAAAGGAGAAUUGCCCUGUUAUUCAACU
rfam:Ricinus communis cultivar Hale ctg_1100012359462, whole genome shotgun sequence.